rnacentral:rRNA from 1 species
GAGUUUGAUCAUGGCUCAGGAUGAACGCUAGCGGCAGGCUUAACACAUGCAAGUCGAACGGUAACAUUGGUGCUUGCACCAGAUGACGAGUGGCGAACGGGUGCGUAACGCGUAUGCAAUCUACCUUUUACUGAAGAAUAGCUCAGAGAAAUUUGGAAUAAUCCUUCAUAAUAUCAUUUAUCAGCAUUGAUUUAUGAUUAAAGCUCCGGCGGUAAAAGAUGAGCAUGCGUCCUAUUAGUUUGUUGGUGAGGUAACGGCUCACCAAGACUACGAUAGGUAGGGGCCCUGAGAGGGGGAACCCCCACACUGGUACUGAGACACGGACCAGACUCCUACGGGAGGCAGCAGUGAGGAAUAUUGGACAAUGGAGGCAACUCUGAUCCAGCCAUGCCGCGUGCAGGAUGACUGCCCUAUGGGUUGUAAACUGCUUUUAUAUAGGAAGAAACACUCCCACGUGUGGGGGCUUGACGGUACUAUAUGAAUAAGGAUCGGCUAACUCCGUGCCAGCAGCCGCGGUAAUACGGAGGAUCCAAGCGUUAUCCGGAAUCAUUGGGUUUAAAGGGUCCGCAGGCGGCCUGUUAAGUCAGAGGUGAAAGCCAACAGCUCAACUGUUGAACUGCCUUUGAUACUGAUAGGCUUGAGUUAUUGUGAAGUGGUUAGAAUGUGUGGUGUAGCGGUGAAAUGCUUAGAUAUCACACAGAAUACCCAUUGCGAAGGCAGAUCACUAACAAUAUACUGACGCUCAUGGACGAAAGCGUGGGGAGCGAACGGGAUUAGAUACCCCGGUAGUCCACGCCGUAACGAUGGAUACUAACUGUUCGACCUUCGGGUUGAGUGUCAGCGAAAGUGAUAGUAUCCCACCUGGGGAGUACGCUCGCAGAGUGAAACUCAAAGAUGACGGGGCCGCACAGCCGUGAGCAUGUGUUAUCGAUGAUACGCGAGUACUACAGGCUAAAUGUAUGGACAGUCUAAGAAUGACUCUCCGACUCAUACAGUGCUGCAUGAUGUCGUCAGCUCGUGCAGAAGGUCAGUUAAGUCCAUAACAGGCCAACCCAUCGUAGUGCAGCGUAAUGCUGAUCUAGCACUGCGGUCACUUAGACAUGUCGAUACUCCAAUCUACAGUCCUUACGUCG